rnacentral:rRNA from 1 species
UGGGGAAUCUUGCGCAAUGGGCGAAAGCCUGACGCAGCAACGCCGCGUGAGGGAUGAAGGCCUUCGGGUUGUAAACCUCUUUCAGCAGGAACGAAUCUGACGGUACCUGCAGAAGAAGGUCCGGCCAACUACGUGCCAGCAGCCGCGGUAACACGUAGGGACCGAGCGUUGUCCGGAUUUAUUGGGCGUAAAGAGCUCGUAGGCGGUUCGGUAAGUCGGGUGUGAAAGCUCCAGGCUCAACUUGGAGAGGCCACCCGAUACUGCCAUGACUUGAGUCCGGUAGGGGAGUGGGGAAUUCCUGGUGUAGCGGUGAAAUGCGCAGAUAUCAGGAGGAACACCGGUGGCGAAGGCGCCACUCUGGGCCGGUACUGACGCUGAGGAGCGAAAGCGUGGGUAGCAAACAGG